rnacentral:rRNA from 1 species
GAUAGUGGACGUUACUCGCAGAAUAAGCACCGGCUAACUCUGUGCCAGCAGCCGCGGUAAUACAGAGGGUGCGAGCGUUAAUCGGAUUUACUGGGCGUAAAGCGUGCGUAGGCGGCUGAUUAAGUCGGAUGUGAAAUCCCUGAGCUUAACUUAGGAAUUGCAUUCGAUACUGGUCAGCUAGAGUAUGGGAGAGGAUGGUAGAAUUCCAGGUGUAGCGGUGAAAUGCGUAGAGAUCUGGAGGAAUACCGAUGGCGAAGGCAGCCAUCUGGCCUAAUACUGACGCUGAGGUACGAAAGCAUGGGGAGCAAACAGGAUUAGAUACCCUGGUAGUCCAUGCCGUAAACGAUGUCUACUAGCCGUUGGGGCCUUUGAGGCUUUAGUGGCGCAGCUAACGCGAUAAGUAGACCGCCUGGGGAGUACGGUCGCAAGACUAAAACUCAAAUGAAUUGACGGGGGCCCGCACAAGCGGUGGAGCAUGUGGUUUAAUUCGAUGCAACGCGAAGAACCUUACCUGGUCUUGACAUAGUAAGAACUUUCCAGAGAUGGAUUGGUGCCUUCGGGAACUUACAUACAGGUGCUGCAUGGCUGUCGUCAGCUCGUGUCGUGAGAUGUUGGGUUAAGUCCCGCAACGAGCGCAACCCUUUUCCUUAUUUGCCAGCGGGUUAAGCCGGGAACUUUAAGGAUACUGCCAGUGACAAACUGGAGGAAGGCGGGGACGACGUCAAGUCAUCAUGGCCCUUACGACCAGGGCUACACACGUGCUACAAUGGUCGGUACAAAGGGUUGCUACCUAGCGAUAGGAUGCUAAUCUCAAAAAGCCGAUCGUAGUCCGGAUUGGAGUCUGCAACUCGACUCCAUGAAGUCGGAAUCGCUAGUAAUCGCGGAUCAGAAUGCCGCGGUGAAUACGUUCCCGGGCCUUGUACACACCGCCCGUCACACCAUGGGAGUUUGUUGCACCAGAAGUAGGUAGUCUAACCGUAAGGAGGACGCUUACCACGGUGUGGCCGAUGACUGGGGUGAAGUCGUAACAAGGUAGCCGUAGGGGAACCUGCGGCUGGAUCACCUCCUUAA